rnacentral:rRNA from 1 species
CCUACGGGUGGCAGCAGUGGGGGAUAUUGCACAAUGGGGGAAACCCUGAUGCAGCGACGCCGCGUGUGGGAAGACGGUCCUCUGGAUUGUAAACCACUGUCCCCAGGGACGAAGAUGACGGUACCUGGGGAGUAAGCUCCGGCAAACUACGUGCCAGCAGCCGCGGUAAUAGGUAGGGAGCGAGCGUUUUCCGGAAUUACUGGGUGUAAAGGGAGCGUAGGCGGGACUGCAAGUUGGGGGUCAAAUCUACCGGUUCAACCUGUAUCUGCACUAAAAACUGCAGUUCUUGAGUGAAGUAGAGGCAGGCGGAAUUCCUAGUGUAGCGGUGAAAUGCGUAGAUAUUAGGAGGAACACCAGUGGCGAAGGCGGCCUGCUGGGCUGUUACUGACGCUGAGGCUCGAAAGUGUGGGGAGCAAACAGGAUUAGAUACCCCUGUAGUC